rnacentral:rRNA from 1 species
CCUACGGGAGGCAGCAGUGGGGAAUUUUGCGCAAUGCGCGUAAGAGUGACGCAGCGACGCCGCGUGAAUGACGAAUGCCUUCGGGUCGUAAAGUUCUUUCGACAGGGAAGAAAAUGCAUAUAAGUAACUGUGUAUGUAUUGACGGUACCUGUAUAAGCAGCCCCGGCUAACUCCGUGCCAGCAGCCGAGGUAAUGCGGAGGGGGCGAGCGUUGUUCGGAUUGACUGGGUGUAAAGAGCACGUAGGCGGUGUUGUAAGUCAUUAGUCAAAGACUAGUGCUCAACUUUAGUAAGGCUAGUGAUACUAUAAUACUAGAGAAUAAGAGAGGAAGGCAGAAUGCAUGGUGUAGCGGUGAAAUGCGUAGAUAUCA